CUGGGCCUCUGGCUCUCUGUGCCCUGGCCCAGGCAUUGUAACUGGGAUGUGACUCUGCCUGAGCCUGAGCCAAGCCCGGCCCCGGCCCCUGCAGCCACUGAGCAGCGGGUCACAAGUGGCCUCCCCACCCUGCUCUGCCGGCACAGGGUGAAUCUGUCUCAUGGAGCCCACCUCCCCUGCCUCAGUUUCCCCAGGGAUAAACAGCUCCCAGCGAGAGCCAGGAUCUCACACUCUCCGAACAUCCCGUUAGCACCAAGGGACCCAAGUGCCGAAAUCAGCUUUGAUUCCAAAGGCUCUGCAGGGCCUGGGCAUAGGCACCAACAAAAGGCCGGACGUGAACAAGGCCUGAGUGUGUCUGUGACACGACAACCCGGCUCUGGGCUCCCCGUGCAAACCUGAAUCUCCCCCUCUCCUCCCCCAGACACUCUGCCGGCCGCACUGGAGUCUCAAAGUGGGGAACCCCGAGGAGCAUACAGACCAGCCAACGUGACUCUGGAUCCAGCCACGGCGCAUCCCCAGUUUGUCCUGUCGGAGGAUGGGAAAUAUGUGAGAUGGACACACACAUGGCAGCCAUGGCCCGACACCCCGGAGAGAUUUGACUGUUGGCCCUGUGUGCUCGGCCGUGAGGGCUUCACUUCAGGGAGACAUUACUGGGAGGUGGAGGUGUGGGGUAGGCGAUGGGCUGUGGGAGUGGCCAGAGAGUCUGUGAGCAGGAAGGGAGGGAUCAGCCUGAGACCCAAGGGCGGGAUCUGGGCUGUGCAGUGUUGGUGGGAUCAGUUCCGGGCUCUCAUUGACCCGGAGACCCCCCUGCCCCAGAGCCCCCCCAACAGGAUCCGGGUUUGUCUGGACUGUGACUGGGGGCAGGUGACAUUUAUCGAUGCUGGAACCGAGGCCCCGAUCUUCACUUUCCCGCCGGGCUCCCUCCCUGGGGAGAGAAUCCGACCCUGGAUCUGGGUGGGGGACA